rnacentral:tRNA from 1 species
UCCCUGAUGGCUCAGUUGGUAAAGAAUCUGCCUGCAAUGCAGGAGACCUGGGUUCGAUUCCUGGGUUGGAAA